rnacentral:rRNA from 1 species
UACGUAGGGUGCAAGCGUUGUCCGGAAUUAUUGGGCGUAAAGAGCUCGUAGGCGGUUUGUCGCGUCUGCUGUGAAAACUCGGGGCUUAACUCCGGGCCUGCAGUGGGUACGGGCAGACUAGAGUGCGGUAGGGGAGACUGGAAUUCCUGGUGUAGCGGUGAAAUGCGCAGAUAUCAGGAGGAACACCGGAGGCGAAGGCGGGUCGCUGGGCCGUAACUGACGCUGGAGAGCGAAAGCGUGGGGAGCGAACAGG